rnacentral:rRNA from 1 species
AAUGAACGCUGGCGGCGUGCUUAACACAUGCAAGUCGUACGAGAACUCUUCUGCUUGCAGAAGAUAGUAAAGUGGCGCACGGGUGAGUAACGCGUGGGUAAUCUGCCUCUGAAUCGGGGAUAACCCGCCGAAAGGCGAGCUAAUACCGGAUAAUAUCUUUAAAACUUCGGUUUUUAAGAUCAAAGGUGGUCUCUACAUGUAAGCUACUGUUUGGAGAUGAGCCCGCGUACCAUUAGCUUGUUGGUAGGGUAAUGGCCUACCAAGGCCGCGAUGGUUAGCUGGUCUGAGAGGAUGAUCAGCCACACUGGAACUGACACACGGUCCAGACUCCUACGGGUGGCAG